GGCUCAGAUGUGAAGUAUACUUUCUUUAUCAGGCAAAAGCAAGAAACAUGGAACCCCGCCAUGGCUGCGACGCGCGCCAUGCCAAGAUACGGACGGUUCUCUAACGCCUGAAAAGCUCCUCUUUCGUUUACUCUUUCCAGUAAAAUCUUCAUCGCCUCGCACAGCUUACCCUUUUUUUUUAACUAUAAUUGUCGGAGCGGAGGAACGUCUCGACCAGAAAAACAUACCCAUCUCUCUGUCUGUCUAAAUAAAUAAAUAUAUUGAUGUAUGUAUGUUCGCAUGUACAAGUACAAGCCUGCGAAGAAGGUCGAGAGAGCGCAUCGCUUCGCUUUCAAUCUGAAAACGGAAGCCGAAAACGCUUUCGCGAACCCAAAAAAGACGGAGGAGAACAUGUGUUGGAGCGACCAAGAACGAAGGGAAGAGAUCGUCGGCUUCGCUGCCGAUCGGAGAAAAAGGGGCAACCUCCGGCCGGAGGCCGCCGCGCCUCUCCGAGAGCAAAGCCAAAGCUUUCCAGCCCUUGAUUUUCGCAGCAAUGGCUCUCUC
rnacentral:lncRNA from 1 species